rnacentral:rRNA from 1 species
CCUGGGGCUGAAGUAGGUCCCAAGGGUAUGGCUGUUCGCCAUUUAAAGUGGUACGCGAGCUGGGUUUAGAACGUCGUGAGACAGUUCGGUCCCUAUCUGCCGUGGGCGCUGGAGAAUUGAGGGGGGCUGCUCCUAGUACGAGAGGACCGGAGUGGACGCAUCACUGGUGUUCGGGUUGUCAUGCCAAUGGCACUGCCCGGUAGCUAAAUGCGGAAGAGAUAAGUGCUGAAAGCAUCUAAGCACGAAACUUGCCCCGAGAUGAGUUCUCCCUGAGACUWUAAGUCUCCUGAAGGAACGUUGAAGACGACGACGUUGAUAGGUCGGGUGUGUAAGCGCAGCGAUGCGUUGAGCUAACCGAUACUAAUGAACCGUGAGGCUUAACCUU